GUCGUCUCCCUUUUCAUUUGGGUCGCUCUGUUUCGAUAAGGCCGAGGGAGAGAGCUCGAGCGGCGAAGGAGAGAGGCGGAGGAGAGAGGCGAUUCCGAGCUAUUCCACCAUUCGAUUUUGAUUUUGUCCUCCCUAUUCUCUUUGCCCCCGGCUGCCGAGGUUUGGUUCAAUGCAGAAAGUUUCUCACAAGGAUGUACCACUAGACUCUUCUCUUGAGAGUGCAGAUUCUCUGAAUGAUCUGUUUGUGCCUAAUGAUCUUGCAGAUGAUGGUUCUAAUCCUAUGUCUUUGGAAAUCUCUAGUGAUGAUGGAGGGCUUGACAAUCUCAAGUGUGGUCCAGGGAAGCUGCUGGGAGGGAUUGCGUGGGGUUCUCUUGCUCUUUUGGUUUAGUUGACAACCGGGUCUUCUUUUUUUUAAGUCCAACUCGUUUAGUGGGAACGAACAGUAUCAGUGGUUUUGGGCAAUACAGAUGUCAACCGGACAUUGGUUAGAAAAUUUGAAUGAUAUCCAAUAGGAAAUCAGUCAAAUGUCAAAUAGACAAUCCCUUGAUA